rnacentral:rRNA from 1 species
GGAACACCAGUGGCGAAGGCGGCUUUCUGGACGACAACUGACGCUGAGGCGCGAAAGUGUGGGGAGCAAACAGGAUUAGAUACCCUGGUAGUCCACACCGUAAACGAUGGAUACUAGGUGUAGGAGGUAUCGACCCCUUCUGUGCCGCAGUUAACACAAUAAGUAUCCCACCUGGGGAGUACGGUCGCAAGAUUGAAACUCAAAGGAAUUGACGGGGGCCCGCACAAGCAGUGGAGUAUGUGGUUUAAUUCGAAGCAACGCGAAGAACCUUACCAGGACUUGACAUCCCACGCAUAGCCUAGAGAUAGGUGAAGUCCUACGGGACGUGGAGACAGGUGGUGCAUGGUUGUCGUCAGCUCGUGUCGUGAGAUGUUGGGUUAAGUCCCGCAACGAGCGCAACCCUUACUGUCAGUUACCAUCAUUAAGUUGGGGACUCUGGCAGGACUGCCGGUGACAAAUCGGAGGAAGGUGGGGACGACGUCAAAUCAUCAUGCCCCUUAUGUCCUGGGCUACACACGUACUACAAUGGCUGUAAACAGAGUGAAGCAAAGCAGUGAUGUGGAGCAAAACACAAAAAGCAGUCUCAGUUCAGAUUGUAGGCUGAAACUCGCCUAUAUGAAGUCGGAAUUGCUAGUAAUCGCAGAUCAGCAUGCUGCGGUGAAUACGUUCCCGGGCCUUGUACACACCGCCCGUCACACCAUGAGAGUCGAUAACACCCGAAGCCUGUAGCUUAACCUUAGGGAGAGCGCAGUCGAAGGUGGGAUUGAUAAUUAGGGUGAAGUCGUAACAAGGUAGCCGUAUCGGAAGGUGCGGCUG